rnacentral:rRNA from 1 species
UACAGAGGGUGCGAGCGUUAAUCGGAAUUACUGGGCGUAAAACGCACGUAGGUGGCGACGUAAGUCGGGUGUGAAAGCCCCGGGCUCAACCUGGGAAUUGCAUUCGAGACUGCAUUGCUGGAGUACGGAAGAGGAGGGCGGAAUUCCCGGUGUAGCGGUGAAAUGCGUAGAUAUCGGGAGGAACAUCAGUGGCGAAGGCGGCCCUCUGGUCCAGUACUGACACUCAAGUGCGAAAGCGUGGGGAGCAAACAGG